CUAUACAUGACUCUGCGCAUAUCAAUAAGCGGAGGAAAAGAAACUAACAAGGAUUCCCCUAGUAACGGCGAGUGAAGCGGGAAGAGCUCAAAUUUGAAAUCUUAAAGGGUUUCCCUUUACGAAUUGUAGUUUAAAGAAGUGUUUUCUGUUGAGGUUUUGGUAAAAGUUCUUUGGAAUAGGACAUCAUAGAGGGUGAGAAUCCCGUAUUUGACCUUUACUUUCAACUUUGUGAUACACUUUCAAAGAGUCGGAUUGUUUGGGAAUGCAGUCCAAAAUGGGUGGUAAAUUUCAUCUAAAGCUAAAUAUUGGCGAGAGACCGAUAGCGAACAAGUACCGUGAGGGAAAGAUGAAAAGAACUUUGAAAAGAGAGUUAAACAGUACGUGAAAUUGUCAAAAGGGAAGCGUUUGACACCAGUGUUGUUUUUCUGAAAAUCAAUUAAAGAACUGUCUAUGCUAAGUUGUUUAGACUUUAUCAGCUAACUGUUUAGUUUUGAGCUUUUCUUUAAUGCACUUUUCAGUUAACAAGUCAACAUCAAUUUCUUUUGCUGUAAAAAAGCUUGAGGAAGGUGGCUUGAGAUUCGUCUUAAGUGUUUAUAGCCUCUUGCCUAUGCAGUCGGAGAGAUUGAGGUCUGCAGCGUAGAUCCUUCGGGGCUAAAUGCAUUUGUGCUAAGUUAUAGGCAUUUUAUAGACAACUUGUUGACUAUGAUUUGUCUUGUAGCUUACUCGCUUAUGUUAUUUUACCUACGCUUAGGAUGUUGACAGCAGUAUAGACUGU
rnacentral:rRNA from 1 species